CCCCUAACUGAUUUUGAUUUGUUUCCUCUUAGUUCUAAAAAUAAUGUUAAAAUCUCUUGAAAUUCAACUUUUAUAAAGCAAUAACCACUGUCUAACGGCUGUGCCCUUGUAGACCCUCCUGGAUAGCAUUAUAGAACUAUAGAUGAGGAUACCUAGUCAUUCGAAAAAGAAAGGUGCAUCCAUGAUUUUAUGGUACAUUAUGUACAUACACGGCUAAGAAAUGCGACUAACAUAAAUUGUUGCUACAACAGUAGGAUCCUUCACAAGCC
rnacentral:lncRNA from 1 species